rnacentral:tRNA from 1 species
GCCAAUGUAGCUCAGCUGGUAGAGCAGCUCACUCGUAAUGAGCAGGUCGUCGGUUCGAGUCCGACCAUUGGCUCCA